GGGGGGGUGUUAAAGCACAUGGCUUUUUGGUGGCCAAGGUGGCAAUGAAUUUGCUUCUCUUUG
rnacentral:tRNA from 1 species